rnacentral:rRNA from 1 species
UCAGAACUCAUGCGACGACGGGUAGCCGGCCUGAGAGGGCGACCGGCCACACUGGGACUGAGACACGGCCCAGACUCCUACGGGAGGCAGCAGUGGGGAAUAUUGCACAAUGGGCGAAAGCCUGAUGCAGCGACGCCGCGUGAGGGAUGACGGCCUUCGGGUUGUAAACCUCUUUCAGCAGGGAAGAAGCGAAAGUGACGGUACCUGCAGAAGAAGCGCCGGCUAACUACGUGCCAGCAGCCGCGGUAAUACGUAGGGCGCAAGCGUUGUCCGGAAUUAUUGGGCGUAAAGAGCUCGUAGGCGGCUUGUCACGUCGGAUGUGAAAGCCCGGGGCUUAACCCCGGGUCUGCAUUCGAUACGGGCUAGCUAGAGUGUGGUAGGGGAGAUCGGAAUUCCUGGUGUAGCGGUGAAAUGCGCAGAUAUCAGGAGGAACACCGGUGGCGAAGGCGGAUCUCUGGGCCAUUACUGACGCUGAGGAGCGAAAGCGUGGGGAGCGAACAGGAUUAGAUACCCUGGUAGUCCACGCCGUAAACGUUGGGAACUAGGUGUUGGCGACAUUCCACGUCGUCGGUGCCGCAGCUAACGCAUUAAGUUCCCCGCCUGGGGGAGUACGGA